rnacentral:rRNA from 1 species
GUAUCUCUGAGAUUAAAAACAAAUAAUCAAAACUUUCAACAACGGAUCUCUUGGUUCUGGCAUCGAUGAAGAACGCAGCGAAAUGCGAUAAGUAAUGUGAAUUGCAGAAUUCAGUGAAUCAUCGAAUCUUUGAACGCACAUUGCGCCCGCCGGUAUUC